rnacentral:rRNA from 1 species
ACGGGACCCGCACAAGCGGUGGAGCAUGUGGUUUAAUUCGAAGAUACGCGAAGAACCUUACCUGGCCUUUGACAUUGAUAGAAUCUGGUAGAGAUACUGGAGUGCUAGCUUGCUAGAACUUGAAAACAGGUGCUGCACGGCUGUCGUCAGCUCGUGUCGUGAGAUGUUGGGUUAAGUCCCGCAACGAGCGCAACCCUCGUCGUUAGUUGCUAACAGUUAGGCUGAGAACUCUAACGAGACUGCCUUCGUAAGGAGGAGGAAGGUGAGGACGACGUCAAGUCAUCAUGGCCCUUACGGCCAGGGCUACACACGUGCUACAAUGGGGUGUACAGAAAGCUGCAAUAUCGCGAGAUGGAGCAAAUCUCAAAAACACCUCCCAGUUCGGAUUGUUCUCUGCAACUCGAGAACAUGAAGUUGGAAUCGCUAGUAAUCGUAGAUCAGCAUUGCUACGGUGAAUACGUUCCCGGGUCUU